GCCGGUGUGGCGGAAUUGGCAGACGCGCUGGACUCAAAAUCCAGUAUCCAUUAGGAUGUAUCGGUUCGACCCCGAUCACCGGUA
rnacentral:tRNA from 1 species